GUGUAAACUUGCCUAGUAGAGCUAAUUGCACCUAAGGUGUCCAUUUAGACUGAUAAGUUGGUGACCCAUUGAUCACUACUCAAAAAUAUUAGAGGAAUACAACUUAGAACUCUGAAAACUGGAGCCAUCCAGUGUCAUCCCAAUAGUGUUACUUCAACAUACACCGGAUUGAAGGGAAUUCAGUUGAACUUUUCAUAUUGCUCUAUUAUAUUAACAAGCAAAACGAAAGUGGUCCACUUGAAGCAUCAAGGACAAAGGGCAGUUUUGGGAGACACAAGUAUGUAAGAAUAGCUUGACUGGGCAUCCAGUGUGGGAAAAGGAUCAUUACUGUACAUAAUAGAAGUUCUGGCUGGAAUUCCAAUUCACUCUAUGAGGAUCAUUUUGAUGUUGAAUGGUCCCCAGAGCAUCCUGACAAGUCUGGUCCACUUGGCUCUUUAUCCAGGGUAAUAAGACCCUAACUGACUUUGAAAAACUGGCAUAAAUGAGCUUAAGAAGUCCAUUGUAUACAGUCCUAGUGUUUGCCUUCUCAGUAAAAUUACAUUUAAGGAUGUCAUUUCAUGAGUCAAAUUGUAUCUGCUGACACUAAAGUGUAUUGAGAUGUUGUUCUUUAGUUUAAGUAUGUAACAAAGUAAUAUUCAAAGGGGAUGUGUGGGGGUGGGGCUGGGACUGGGUGGCUUUAUAUUGAUAAUGAAAUAUUCCAGAGCAAAACACAUUGUCCUAAUGAAGUUGUUGCAGCUCUCUUUAUUUUCUUGUGAAGCUGGAAUUGGCCUGUGGGUCACAUGUUGUGUAAAAGUGAAUUAAUUUCCAAUAGAACUCAUAUUGCUUUUUGUAAAAACAAAGAAAAUCAACCACCUUGUCUGAAAUAUAUAUUGUAAGGUGCUCUUGGUAAAGAACAACCCACGAAAACCUGAUCUUGAUUGGAAAGCAUUGUAGGUCAUUAGGGAAAACUGAUGAUGCUGAUUGUUGCUCCAGCUGUAUUGGCAAUUAAAAAUGACCUUGUUACUAACUGAAAGUUGCUGUCAACCUUAGCAAACAAACCAGCUAACACCAUUACAGCACUGGUUAAGUAGAUUUUUACUGGCACUGGCUGGCGUUCAGCUGAGGAAGGCUAGAACGCAGACUUUAAUGACCAAGAGCCAGACUAGCUUGAGCUAGAAAUUCAGCAACAAAUACCUUCUUGUGCUAUUUGAAUGCUAAGGUAUUAGUUGCAAAAGGCUUACGCCUUCGCUCCUCUAGUGAGGGGAAUGAGCCUGAUGACACUAUUACUGUUUACCUGUCAAACCAGGGUGGAAAUUUAGAGGGAUGCAAGUACAGUAUGUCUCAUUAAGCAGUCUCUGUUGCUGACUAUAUGAAGGUGAAAUUGUUGUAUAUGCUGAUCUGUAUGUUAUGUACAUUUUCACAGUGAUUGAAUCAUUGUAAAAAGAAAAAAGACAAAAAAGAAUCACCACUCUAUUUUAUGAAGAUGAUAAAGCAGCUUUAUUAAAUUAUUACAGUUAUGUUUUAAAUGGUGUUAUCUGCCACAUUGUUUCCUUUUAUCUGGUGGUUCUCUGUUUUCCCCUUAAAUGUGUUUUCUCUGCUUCAAAAAUAUAAUGCAUUUUAGUAUUAAAGGCUAUUAUGG
rnacentral:lncRNA from 1 species